rnacentral:tRNA from 5 species
GGGCGGUUAGCUCAGUUGGUUAGAGCGCGUCGUUUACACCGACGAGGUCGAGGGUUCGAGCCCUUCACCGCCCACAA